GAAUGCGGCUGAUGCGUGGGCAUAAUAUAGCGGAACCAUAACCGCUAAAGUGAAGCGACGCAUAAAGAAACAGGUAGUGCUUUUGCCUGUGGUGGAGCAGAAACAGAACACCGCCGUGAGAAGACACGUUAAAAUCUAGUGUUCACUGCGUGGAACGGUGGGGAAUUCAUCUUAGAUGAAUGUGGAGCCCCACGUUAAAAUAAAAAGCCUAUUGCCACACGGUGCUUCAUCUGCAAUGCGUUCCGGGUAGACAAAUUUGGGGCCAACCGCUGGUGAAAGCACCGCCAGCGGUAUGCG
ncrna:unclassified sequences FuFi-1 RNA